GGUAAACGUCUCUGCUUCUUAAUCCUCGGUAAACUGUAUUUUUGGAAUAUGAGCUAUCUUGUCCCAAUCCUCCCAUGUUCCCUCUUUGCAUCGUUCCUCUAAUGUUGGGCAUUCCCAAAUUGUCAGAACCUCAAGAGAAGUGAGGUGUCGAAUACCCUCCGGCAAGCAUCGCAAUCCUUUACAGCUAUAAAUCUGUAGAUUUCGAAGGGAAGUGAGGUGUCGAAUACCCUCCGGCAAGCAUCUCAAUCCUCUACAACUCGAAAUGUGUAGAGCUCGAAGGGAUUGAAGACCUUCCCAAUUUUGCUCUGGUAAGGACUCCAAUUGUGGGAACCAAUCUACUUCCAGAUAUUGAAGACAAGUA
rnacentral:lncRNA from 1 species